AUUGAACGCUGGCGGCAUGCCUUACACAUGCAAGUCGAACGGCAGCACGGGAGCAAUCCUGGUGGCGAGUGGCGAACGGGUGAGUAAUAUAUCGGAACGUGCCCAGUCGUGGGGGAUAACGUAGCGAAAGCUACGCUAAUACCGCAUACGAUCUAUGGAUGAAAGCGGGGGAUCGCAAGACCUCGCGCGAUUGGAGCGGCCGAUAUCAGAUUAGGUAGUUGGUGAGGUAAAGGCUCACCAAGCCGACGAUCUGUAGCUGGUCUGAGAGGACGACCAGCCACACUGGACUGAGACACGGCCCAGACUCCUACGGGAGGCAGCAGUGGGGAAUUUUGGACAAUGGACGCAAGUCUGAUCCAGCCAUUCCGCGUGCAGGAUGAAGGCCCUCGGGUGUAACUGCUUUUGUACGGUACGAAAGGUUUCUAUUAAUACUAGGAGCUCAUGACGGUACCGU
rnacentral:rRNA from 1 species